rnacentral:rRNA from 1 species
UACGAAGGGGGGCUAGCGUUGUUCGGAAUUACUGGGCGUAAAGGGUUUGUAGGCGGUUAUACAAGUCAGUGGUGAAAUCCUGGGGCUUAACCUCAGAAUUGCCAUUGAAACUGUAUAGCUAGAGAAUGUUAGAGGAAAGUGGAAUUCAUAGUGUAGGAGUGAAAUCCGUAGAGAUUAUGAGGAAUAUCGAUGGCGAAGGCAGCUUUCUGGGACAUUUCUGACGCUGAGAAACGAAAGCGUGGGUAGCAAACAGG